UACAGAGGUCCCGAGCGUUGUUCGGAUUCAUUGGGCGUAAAGGGUGCGUAGGCGGCGGGGCAAGUCUGAUGUGAAAUCCUGGGGCUCAACCCUGGAACUGCAUUGGAUACUGCCUUGCUAGAGUACUGGAGAGGAAACUGGAAUUUACGGUGUAGCAGUGAAAUGCGUAGAGAUCGUAAGGAAGACCAGUGGCGAAGGCAGCUCGCUGGGACGUUACUGACGCUGAGACGCGAAAGCGUGGGGAGCAAACAGG
rnacentral:rRNA from 1 species